rnacentral:rRNA from 1 species
GACAGAGGGUGCAAACGUUGUUCGGAAUUACUGGGCGUAAAGGGCGCGUAGGCGGUGCGGUAAGUCUGCUGUGAAAUCUCCGGGCUCAACUCGGAGUCUGCAUCAGAAACUGCCGUGCUCGAGUGUGGGAGAGGUGAGUGGAAUUCCCGGUGUAGAGGUGAAAUUCGUAGAUAUUGGGAAGAACACCGGUGGCGAAGGCGGCCAACUGGACCACAACUGACGCUGAGGCGCGAAAGCGUGGGGAGCAAACAGG